UGUCGCUGAUAGUCCCUGUUCAGGUGCCACUUGUGGCUGACUGCCACGGUUACUGCUUGAGACCAGCA
rnacentral:miRNA from 10 species